GAUGAACGCUGACAGAAUGCUUAACACAUGCAAGUCGAUGGGGAAGUGGUGCUUGCACCAUGGCAACCAUGGCGGACGGGUGAGUAACGCGUAAGGGACUUACCUGCAGGACUGGGAUAACAGGGGGAAACUCCUGACAAGACCGGAUAAUGUCAUGGAGCUGCAUGGCUUUAUGAUGAAAGGAGACGCCUGCGGAGAGCCUUGCGUCCUAUUAGCUAGUUGGUGAGGUAAUGGCUCACCAAGGCGAAGAUAGGUAGCCGGCCUGAGAGGGUGGACGGCCACAGGGGGAAGGAGAUACGGCCCUUACUCCUCGGGGAGGAGGCGGUGGGAAAUAUGGAAAAAGGGGGGAAACCCUGACCAAGAAAUUCUGUGGGAAGAAAGAGGUUUUUGGGAUGGAAAAGGGUUUUAAGAAGGAAAAAAGAAAGGGAGGGACCCUAAAAAAGAGGGGAGGGCAAAACCCGCC
rnacentral:rRNA from 1 species